AAAUUAAAUUCUAAAUAUUAACGGCAGUGAGUCCUGCACCUGCGGGCUAGGAACAAGUUUCAUAUUUAAAACUUUCACGGUCCAACCUGGCUCCCAUCCCAGUUUCAAUGUGGAAGGUGUGACAAAUAUCCAGCAAAGAUAUUCUCUGAAGCUGGGAAACUUUUAGACUCAAAGAAACCUGGGAGAAUGCAGAGGAGCUGAGCAAGGGGGCUGGCCCAGCAGGCAGGACGCAUGUAAAUUCCAGUUCUGCUGCGAGUAGAAAGAUAACCUUUAACAAGUGGCAUCAUAUCUCCCACCUUGGUUUUCUCAUCUGUGUGUAAGAGGUAUCUGAAGGUCUCAAUUUUUAUUUCUCUGUCACAGCCUGACAUCUUUGGUAAGGUCUAGUCAGAGAUGGUAAGAAGGCAUGAUCUUACGCCAUAUCUGACUGGUUGACAGAGGCUGCCGGGAGCACUGUUAAGGAGGAUUCUGGAGCGAAAUCCAGGCUCAGAAAUAGUGUUGUGCUCAAACAAGUGAUCUCCUCCUUGGGCUGAGACAGGAAUUAAAGCAGCACAACCUCCAGGUGGCUGGCCUUCCUGGUCACUCUUUAAGCAGCUGGGAUUGUGGAAUGAGAAGAAGGACUAUAGAAGUCCACACAUUCUCAGUCUCAGGAAUAGCUAAUCCUGAUCCUCAUCUUUGUAAUAAACCUCCCGAUCCUGAUAGGACACUGACACACCAACAGGAAAAAAAAAAAAAAUGCACAUGAGCAACUGCAAGGAAGCCCACAGGCUCUGACCUCACGCACAGUAAAGAGAUGAACAAGUGAUGGACUAUUUAUCACUCCCACACUCACUUGCCCAACCUUGUCCUACUUUUCUGGCUUGUAGCAUCAUGCUUUGUAAAUUCAGUGCAUUUUUAUUCUGUGACAGAAACAGCAACUGCUGCCCAGCAUAACGCACUUUGAGAAAGUAGAAAAGAAAAUGGAUGCCUUGCAAAUCCCAUUACCUCAAAGGCCUUCACAGAAAGAGUCCCAACCUGGUCAAUGACCAACUGUAACACCAGCCAUUCAGAAGAGGCAGACAAUUGAGACACCUAGGUGCCCGUCAGCAGAUGAUUGGAU